rnacentral:piRNA from 1 species
AAGAUUGCUCAUGACUCUUGUUCUGUAG